AACGAACGCUGGCGGCAGGCUUAACACAUGCAAGUCGAGCGCCCCGCAAGGGGAGCGGCAGACGGGCGAGUAACGCGUGGGAAUCUACCCAUCUCUACGGAAUAACGCAUGGAAACGUGUGCUAAUACCGUAUACGUCCUUCGGGAGAAAGAUUUAUCGGAGGUGGAUGAGCCCGCGGUGGAUUAGCUAGUUGGUGGGGUACAGGCCUACCAAGGCGACGAUCCAUAGCUGGUCUGAGAGGAUGAUCAGCCACACUGGGACUGAGACACGGCCGAGACGCCUACGGGAGGCAGCAGUGGGGAAUAGUGGACAAUGGGCGCAAGCUUGAUCCAGCCAUGCCGCGUGAGUGAUGAAGGCCCUAGGGUUGUAAAGCUCUUUCACCGGUGAAGAUAAUGACGGUAACCGGAGAAGAAGCCCUGGCUAACUUCGUGCCAGCCGCCGCGGUAAGAC
rnacentral:rRNA from 1 species